AACUUUUUUAUAUUUUUUUUUAUUGCAGUAGUGACUAUUUCCGGUUAUAAAUCGUAAAAAAAAUCAGAGAAACUGACAAAGAUUUACGGGUGACCUAGGAUCUGACCUUUCAAAAUUUGAUAACAUGAGAUAUCAUCAGGUGUUAGUUGUGACUCAUGCUUGCAAGGAAAUUUCAGAGGGAAAAGGUAUAAAUGUUUGAUAUGCUACGACUACGACUUAUGUGCAUCUUGUUAUGAAGCUGGCAUAGUAACAACACAUCAUACAACCCACCAUCCCAUGCAGUGUAUUCUCACUCGUUCAGAUUAUGGUAUAUACUAUGGAGGGGAAACAGUGUCAGUAGAUCAGUCUCAAUCAUUUACCUGUCCAUUUUGUGGAAAGAUGGGAUUUUCUGAAGGUACAUUACAAGAACAUGUCACCUUAGAACACUCAGAAAACUCAUUUGAAGUGGUGUGUCCAAUAUGUGCAGCAUCACCUAGUGGAGAACCCAAUCAUGUCACUAAUGAUUUUGCUGCACAUCUAACUUUAGAACACCGCAGUCCUCGGGAUUUGGAUGAAGUCACAACCUCACGGCAGGUUAGAAGAAUUUCACAUCCUGGAAGAGGAAUAAGUGGUGCUCGUGCUCGACGUAACCAGAUGCAGUUUAAUUCCUCGAGCACUUUACCAUCACUAUCGCCUAACAGUAGGGAUUCAAUAAACCCUCUUGCAGAGCUACUUUCUCAGUUGUCUGGCGUUCGACGUUCCACCAACCUGAACCAAUCUAACACAACUUCUCAGCUACAGCAGCUCCAGAUGCAGCUUCAGCUAGAAAGACAGCAGGCCCAGGCUGCUCGCCAGCAUUUGGAACGUCUUCCUCGUAGACAAAACCAGACUGGAGGAGGAACUGCUGUACAGUUUAACCAGGCUUUUCAUGUUGAGCCAACAACUAGUCCUUCUGCAUCAUGCUCUAGCUCUUCCUAUUUGCUUUCAAGGUACACAGAGUGUAAUUUAACUGAAUCAGAACAGCAAGCUCUUGAGGUGGAUCAUGCAGAUCAUAGUAUUUUUGUUCAGGAAUUAUUACUUACAACACUAGCAGAGAAGCUUUCAGUGAGUGGUGGAUUUGGAUCUAUCAUUGAAAAGUUAGAUUUCAGUGUUGAUCAAGAAGGAUCUGUUUCUGCACUAUCUGUAAACAAAGACGUAGAAGUAAAAAGCACAACCUCAUCUAAAGGUUCAACUCAGUUUAGCUCUUCUUGUUUAAAUCUUCCUCAACAAAGGCAUGCAUUGCCAUCAACUCAGGUUUCUCAGACAACCCAACAAGUCAACCAAAGACCAUCGAUAAAAUCAUCUACCACUCACUCAGCCCAACAGUCAUCUUGCACCAAUAUCAACAGCUGUGGCCAGUCCUGUCAAGACAGUAUGAUGCAGCAAUCUCCUUUGGGGCCAAGAGCAGGAGCUAGUGUAUUUUCAUUUUGGGGUCAGUCAAGAGAAGGGCAGGCUUCAGGGCUAACUCUUAACAGAAAUCCCAGUCAUGAAGGAAGAAGUACCUCUCCUUCUUCUACCCGUAGAAAAGUGCUAAGACAUGUAGAUGAUAGAAACAAGUCAAAUGAGCCUCCUCCUCCUUGAUUAACCUUCUGUUCUAGGAAAAAUAUGUUGCAUCUCUAACCAUAUGGGCAGUCCCCUUGUGUCAUCUAGAGCCCUUAAGAAUUUUGUCUGUUGUUUUAAUGAAAUAUUUAAUGUUUUUUGACCACACUUUUGACUUGACUUUGACUGUACAAAUGUUAUUGUGUUUUCUAUAGAGAUUUUGGUCUCCAUUUGCUUUGUCUGAAGCUCAUAUAUGGACAAGAUAAUUGUAAUAUCUUUAAUUUGUUUCUUUUAUCUUGAUUUCUCAUAAUUAUAUUACCAUGGGCCUGUUCAUUGUAAACAGACUAACCCAAGUUUGAACAUCACAGUACUGAUGAAAUAUCUGUAUACUUAUUUGCAUUUUUCUAAUCUAUAUCCAUGUCCAGUUUUUUUCUUUUUCAUCAUUAAUUGAGCUAGUGUUUUAUUUAUUGAGAGAGAUAUAUAGUUAUCGUAUGUGAAGAACAUUAGUUAGAGAAAGUUAUGUUUGGUAAAAGUUUCUAGAAUUUUGAAGAAUUGUAACAAUGGAAGUUGAAUUUUAAUCCCUUGGUAUAUGCAAAUUUUCUUUGAUGUUAUCUAUUUCUGGUGUCAUUUACAUAAAAAUCAACCUGUUUUUUUUUUAUACUAAGAUUAGCACUAAUCUUUUUCAACAUGCCACUGCUUCAUGGGAAGUUGACAAGUGUGGACCAUUUUUAAAUUUAUGAUGACUGACAUGUAUAUAUAUUAUUAGAAGCUGUCUAAAAUAUGGGGAUUACAUCAUGAUAGAAGCAGCUACCACAGAACUUGUGGAACAUUUAGUCAGGCUGCUGCUGCCUCUUUUUGAAUUAUCUUCUGUAGAAAGUUACAAGGUCACAAGGGCAGGUCAAAUUAAAUGUUGAGAAGCAAUAUACAUAAAUUUGUAUGUUGAGUAGUGAAUUAAUAAGCACCAAGUUAACAUGAAAAUAUGUAAUAAAGUAUGUGUGCAUGCUUCCUUGCAUGUGUUCCUCAUGUACGAAUGCGUGCAUUCAAGUCAAGUUGCCUUGAAUUAGGCUUAACUAAUGAUAAUUAUGUAGUGUUGAUAUAAUUGUGUUGGUUUUUGCUACUAGGAAAUGCUUUGUAUCUUUGAAACAAAUAGCGAUUAGUAAUAUUUAAACAAUUCUUUAGUACAGUUUAUCUUAAACAUUCGUGAAAAAGAAAUUUAGAGUUAUUCUAAUUAAGAUGGACAUACCCAGUAAUAUUCAAGUAAAUUGUUCUUUAAGUUUUGACCAUCAGUAAAAUAAAAGUUUUCACUUUUAGAUUGUAUUGUGUAUUAAACUGUCAUUACACUUAUUUGUAAAAGAUGGUGAUAAGCAUUGUCUCGGGAAAAUAAAAUGAAAGUUUAGGCUCUUAA
rnacentral:misc_RNA from 1 species